UACGAAGGGGGCUAGCGUUGCUCGGAAUUACUGGGCGUAAAGCGUGCGCAGGCGGUUAUGCAAGACAGAUGUGAAAUCCCCGGGCUUAACCUGGGAACCGCAUUUGUGACUGCAUAGCUGGAGUACGGCAGAGGGGGAUGGAAUUCCGCGUGUAGCAGUGAAAUGCGUAGACAUGCGGAGGAACACCGAUGGCGAAGGCAGUCCCCUGGGCCUGUACUGACGCUCAUGCACGAAAGCGUGGGGAGCAAACAGG
rnacentral:rRNA from 1 species